UGAAGAGAAAAUACUUGGCAAUAGAAACUCAGAGAGGAGCAGAUCAAAAGAAACAGAAGAAUUCAGAAAUAUCUGCAGUAGCAAAUGUGGAGACUGGAGCCUUUCUGGGACAAGGCCAUUGAGUAAGGAGAAUUACAGGAGGAAAACCUUACAUAGUACCAGAUACGAAUAACCAAGAUCUACCAAAAUAAAAUAUUCAGAAUACCUUUUCAGAAGGAUGCUUUGGGUGAAAGCAGUACUCAAGAUGAUUUAUGCAUCUCUCCUUGUAGCCUGAUCAGUGCCUUGUCAGAAACCACCUCCAUGGUGAUGCUGGGCUCAGCUCACAGCAGCAGAGAGUAAAACCAGCUCGGGGAUUACCUUUCCUUAUCCAAGGAGUGGCUGGGACGGACAAUUUGAAUAAUCACCGGGGCCAGGCUGCAGCUGCCAGGGACCUGGGAACUCCUGCGCUUGGAAUCGCCCUGCCCGCAGCCACAGCUGAGGAACAGACAUUUCCCUGCUCCGGGUGA
rnacentral:lncRNA from 1 species